CGCGAUUGCGUGUUGUUUCGGUGCACGGCCCGUGGUGUCGGCGUUACUUGCAUUCAGUUUUUCAAAUUACGAAUUGUUUGCGAUAUCAAAAAUCAACUCUUAAAGUUAUAAACCGACUUCGGAAAGCAUAUCACUCGUUUCGGUGCGAUGCAUAAUUUGUUAUUUAAACAUUAUUAAACGAAAGUGGCGUGGUGCUUCUUUUUUGUUUUGGAUCAAGGCAAGAUUUCAUGGAUAUAUUGAUUUUGGUUCUUCAAGGAGAUUGGAGUGUGAGUGUUCCAGCCCUACUUUGGAUUAAUGGUUCUUCGUAGGAGAGAUUGAUUUAUAAGGCUAAACGAUCCAAGAAGGGCAGCCUUACCAAGGUAGGAUUUUUCCUUUUUUGCAUGUUGUAUUGCAUGUUAUAUUAUGUGUCUUUAGCUGUGAACAGUGGGGGGGGAUUACAACCAAAAGGAUUAUGUAGCUAACCUUCGUGUUUAUAGUACAAUACAAGUUGCAACAAUCUCUUCAGUCUUUCAGCUGGGUAAUGUAAGGUUGACCAACGAUUCUUUAAGUAUCUUUCGCAGUAUCCUUUAGUUUCUCUUCAUAUUGAGGAGUAUGUCUAUGAAUUCACAGUCAUACUAGCUUUGUGAAAAAAAUUGAGUUUAUUUGCGAAGCAGACUACAAAGAAGUAUUGUAUAGUCAUUUCUUGCGUUUCCAAUCUGAGUAAACUGUUGCACCUUGAUUUAUUAUUACACGAAGAUUAGCUCAGAGUAAGGUAAGUGCGUGUUUGUUAUCAAUUAGUAAUUCAGCCUUAUACGGAGAAUACAUCGCACCAGGAAAGAAUGUCGGUCACAGCACACCUGAUGUUGGUCUACAAUCGUAUGGUUUACUAUGAAAAAUAUUAGUUUCAUAGUUUAUUUUUCAUAGUAAAAACCAUACGAUUGUAGACCGGUAUCUCGUGUUCUGUGGCCGGAAUUGUUUCCUGGUGAGACUAUACAGAGUGGCCCAACGAGAAGGAUACAGAAGGGGUGAAGA